GGUCAAGCUACAAAGGGCAGAUGGUGGAUACCUAGGCAC
rnacentral:rRNA from 1 species